rnacentral:rRNA from 1 species
UACGUAGGGUGCGAGCGUUAAUCGGAAUUACUGGGCGUAAAAGCGUGCGCAGGCGGUUUUGUAAGCCAGAUGUGAAAUCCCCGGGCUUAACCUGGGAAUGGCAUUUGGGACUGCAAGGCUUGAGUGCGGCAGAGGAGACUGGAAUUCCUGGUGUAGCAGUGAAAUGCGUAGAUAUCAGGAGGAACACCGAUGGCGAAGGCAGG